GGUAGCACAGAGAGCUUGCUCUCGGGUGACGAGCGGCGGACGGGUGAGUAAUGUCUGGGAAACUGCCUGAUGGAGGGGGAUAACUACUGGAAACGGUAGCUAAUACCGCAUAACGUCGCAAGACCAAAGUGGGGGACCUUCGGGCCUCAUGCCAUCAGAUGUGCCCAGAUGGGAUUAGCUAGUAGGUGGGGUAACGGCUCACCUAGGCGACGAUCCCUAGCUGGUCUGAGAGGAUGACCAGCCACACUGGAACUGAGACACGGUCCAGACUCCUACGGGAGGCAGCAGUGGGGAAUAUUGCACAAUGGGCGCAAGCCUGAUGCAGCCAUGCCGCGUGUGUGAAGAAGGCCUUCGGGUUGUAAAGCACUUUCAGCGGGGAGGAAGGCGUUGAGGUUAAUAACCUUGUCGAUUGACGUUACCCGCAGAAGAAGCACCGGCUAACUCCGUGCCAGCAGCCGCGGUAAUACGGAGGGUGCAAGCGUUAAUCGGAAUUACUGGGCGUAAAGCGCACGCAGGCGGUCUGUCAAGUCGGAUGUGAAAUCCCCGGGCUCAACCUGGGAACUGCAUUCGAAACUGGCAGGCUAGAGUCUUGUAGAGGGGGGUAGAAUUCCAGGUGUAGCGGUGAAAUGCGUAGAGAUCUGGAGGAAUACCGGUGGCGAAGGCGGCCCCCUGGACAAAGACUGACGCUCAGGUGCGAAAGCGUGGGGAGCAAACAGGAUUAGAUACCCUGGUAGUCCACGCCGUAAACGAUGUCGAUUUGGAGGUUGUGCCCUUGAGGCGUGGCUUCCGGAGCUAACGCGUUAAAUCGACCGCCUGGGGAGUACGGCCGCAAGGUUAAAACUCAAAUGAAUUGACGGGGGCCCGCACAAGCGGUGGAGCAUGUGGUUUAAUUCGAUGCAACGCGAAGAACCUUACCUGGUCUUGACAUCCACAGAACUUUCCAGAGAUGGAUUGGUGCCUUCGGGAACUGUGAGACAGGUGCUGCAUGGCUGUCGUCAGCUCGUGUUGUGAAAUGUUGGGUUAAGUCCCGCAACGAGCGCAACCCUUAUCCUUUGUUGCCAGCGGUUCGGCCGGGAACUCAAAGGAGACUGCCAGUGAUAAACUGGAGGAAGGUGGGGAUGACGUCAAGUCAUCAUGGCCCUUACGACCAGGGCUACACACGUGCUACAAUGGCAUAUACAAAGAGAAGCGACCUCGCGAGAGCAAGCGGACCUCAUAAAGUAUGUCGUAGUCCGGAUUGGAGUCUGCAACUCGACUCCAUGAAGUCGGAAUCGCUAGUAAUCGUAGAUCAGAAUGCUACGGUGAAUACGUUCCCGGGCCUUGUACACACCGCCCGUCACACCAUGGGAGUGGGUUGCAAAAGAAGUAGGUAGCUUAACCUUCGGGAGGG
rnacentral:rRNA from 1 species